GUGUCCCAGGUCUAAAUCAGGCCCUGAUCUGUGCUGCUGUCACUAAAUACAACCUGUGACGUUGAUAUAGACCAGGGGGUAUUUUCAAAUGUUACCGUUCGAUAUCUGGACUACUGCUACUUUUCUGUUGUACCUGAUCAUUAAUAUCACCCCACCUGGUGUCCCAGGUCUAAAUCAGGCCCUGAUCAUUAAUAUCACCCCACCUGGUGUCCCAGGUCUAAAUCAGGCCCUGAUUAGAGGAGAAUCACCCACCUGGUAUCCCAGGUCUAAAUCAGGCCCUGAUUAGAGGAGAAUCACCCACCUGGUGUCCCAGGUCUAAAUCAGGCCCUGAUUAGAGGGGAAUCACCCACCUGGUGUCCCAGGUCUAAAUCAGGCCCUGAUUAGAGGAGAAUCACCCACCUGGUGUCCCAGGUCUAAAUCAGGCCCUGAUUAGAGGGGAAUCACCCACCUGGUGUCGCAGGUCUAAAUCAGGUCCUGAUUAGAGGGGAAUCACCCACCUGGUGUCCCAGGUGUAAAUCAGGCCCUGAUUAGAGGGGAAUCACCCACCUGGUGUCCCAGGUGUAAAUCAGGCCCUGAUUAGAGGGGAAUCACCCACCUGGUGUCCCAGGUCUAAAUCAGGCCCUGAUUAGAGGGGAAUCACCCACCUGGUGUCCCAGGUCUAAAUCAGGCCCUGAUUAGAGGGGAAUCACCCACCUGGUGUCCCAGGUCUAAAUCAGGCCCUGAUUAGAGGGGAAUCACCCACCUGGUGUCCCAGGUCUAAAUCAGGCCCUGAUUAGAGGGGAAUCACCCACCUGGUGUCCCAGGUCUAAAUCAGGCCCUGAUUAGAGGAGAACAAUGGGAAAAAAGCAGUUGAACUGGCUUCGAGGUCCAGAUUUGAAUUUGAGCAAUAUAGCCUAUUCAUACAUAAUAAAUCGUUAUUACCAUGUUAUACGUUGUUUAUGCUGGAUGAUGUCAAUAAAGAACUUGAGAACCCA
ensembl:lncRNA